GACGAACGCUGGCGGCGUGCCUAACACAUGCAAGUCGAGCGGAAGGACGCGGCGUUUGUGUGGUGGUCGUGAGCGGCGGAGGGGUGUGAAACGCGUGUAACACCCACUUAUAUUUCUGGUAUCUCUUCGAGAAACGGGCGCUAACACCGGAGAAUCUUCUGCUGCGUGUGGUGCGUUGGUGAGUGUCGGUGUUGGUGGAUGGUAUAGCUGCUUCCGAGCUGGAUUAGGUAGUUGUGAAGGUAACGGCGUACCACGGCAACGAUGCAUAGCCGACCUGAGAGGGUGAUCGGCCACACUGGAACUGAGACACGGUCCAGACUCCUACGGGAGGCAGCAGUAGGGAAUCUUCCGCAAUGGGCGAAAGCCUGACGGAGCAACGCCGCGUGAGUGAUGAAGGUCUUCGGAUCGUAAAACUCUGUUAUUAGGGAAGAACAUAUGUGUAAGUAACUGUGCACAUCUUGACGGUACCUAAUCAGAAAGCCACGGCUAACUACGUG
rnacentral:rRNA from 1 species